GUGAGCAGCGAAGGAAAGCCAGGCGGCUGCAGAAUAUUCUAAACUUUUGGCCAAGAGAACAAAGGAAGCCGAAAGUACAAAACCAAAACUGAACAAUAAAACCCAGGAGCAGACUGCAAGAGACAGCGGCUGACCUCGCUGGGAGCUUCUACUUCAGAGUCUGAGUUCAGUCAAAAGUUGGAUUCGGCAGGUUUAAUCAGAGCCUCUCUGGGGUCACCGAGUUUUAUCUGCUUUUGGAUAUCUGAACCCGUCAUUCCGCAAGAAGAAAGUAGAGGAACGAGCCCCUGUUCUGCGCUACCGAGACAUCCUGGAGACUAUAAGGCCAGAUGAGACAAGUUUAAGGCCUUCUGGGACCUUGUUAAAGAGCUUUUGACACCUGGAGGGUCAUGGGAACUACUAAAUGAACAAAUAAACCUGGCUUAAAAUCCCAGAUUUCCUAUUUACGCCAAGACUGUGCAAAGUACCGAAACUCUUUUCGCCCUUACCUCCUCAGCUACAGACUAUCAGUAAGUAACAGCAGGACUCCAGGCCGGGCUGGACGAGGAUGGAGGAAGAGACCCAGAAAAGCAUUGGACCCGUGCCUGGUACACAGCAGCUUCUCAGCGCCCACAGCCGCUCUGACAUCGUACCACUGGCGAGUUUCUCUCUGAAGAUUCAUUAUCAUCACGUGUGUUGAACUGAUACUCAUCGCUUGGUUCUCUAGAAAAAAGAAAAGAAAAAAGCCAUACAGAUGGGAGCUCAAUCUAAGUAACCAGCAAAAUCUUGCCUGGUUUCCACUCGAGGCUGGGCAGUGCGAUGGCUCCCUGUGGAUAGCGGCCAGAGACAAACGUUAGCCUUCAGUGUCUCUGAAUGCAUGUCGCACUCAAUCUCCCCACCAACACGUACGGGGAAAGGGAGAACUCUUAGGAGCCCUCACCAUGUCCAGAAACAGAACUAUAUAUGCAAGCAGAGAAGAGAUACCAGUCUGAGAAAACCUAACUAGUCCGUUGGCUUCCGGGUAUUAAAAAAAAAAAAAAUGGAGAAGCCGGGCAGUGGUGGCGCACGCCUUUAAUCCCAGCACUCGGGAGGCAAAGGCAGGUGGAUCUCUGUGAGUUCGAGGCCAGCCUGGUCUGCAGAGUGAGUUCCAGGACAGCCAGGACUAUUAUACAAAGAAGCCCUAU